UGGCGUCACGGCACACAGAUGGCUUCCGGAGGUCCACAGCUCUGGCUAGAGGGCACGAGGGCAGGGUCUCGGGAUACUGAACCUACACUCUGACCAGGGUCCACCACACGUCCUCAGGAGAGCCCUGUUUCCUGCCGGCUCAGGAUGAGUUCACUGUUCCGGUUACUCUUGGCUCUGCUGAUGUGUCUAUGGCAGGGAUAAGUAAAGUUGAAGGUUUGUGGCAACCGUCACUGAGCAAGUUUAUCGGCGCCAAAAAGAUGACGACUCCCUGAAGGCCCAGAGGAUGGUUAACACAACUGCCCCAUCCAGAACACUUUGACGUGUCCAGUUAGCUUUUGCAGUGAAACACGAACCCGGCAGCUGCUGUGGAAGAAUUUUGUGUGCUCCUCAAACCUGAGUAUUAAGUGAAUGACCGAGCAACUGUCUAUUGGAAGUCACCAGUACCUCUACAGGGCAGACAUUACGGGAGACGUAUCCAGGUCCGAGAUGCAGCAGAGGUGUGCUCCUGAAAUUCCCCUGUCUGCCAAGAGUAUCCCUCCUAGUGGAUGUGAGAUGGAGAGCAACUACAUUUUAAAGCAAAUUUGUUCUCAGUUGGACAACCUUAUGAUAGUAUUUCACCCAUGUGAAUGUGGUGAGGAGUUGCUGGCUCUUCCUGUCAGAACCAACAUUUUCUGCAGUCAAGGAAGGUGUCAUUGAAGGGCCAACACCAGUACCUGCAGCCUUCCAGAAAUUCUCACCUCUCACUCAUUAGUAUCAUUCCUUAAAGUAAUAUUGAGUGUUUUAAAUUGGGCUAAAUCAUUGCGCUACAUGAAGUGUUGGAAGGUUGACACCUUGAAGCAUGAUAACUUUUUCAUAUGUCUGAUUAGUUUAAAACAAUUACAA